rnacentral:rRNA from 1 species
AUACGGAAGGUCCGGGCGUUAUCCGGAUUUAUUGGGUUUAAAGGGAGCGCAGGCGGAGAUGCAAGCGUGACGUCAAAUUUCGGGGCUCAACCCCGUCUCGCGUCGCGAACUGCGUCCCUUGGUUGCGGGAAGGGGAGGCGGAACUCGUGGUGUAGCGGUGAAAUGCAUAGAUAUCACGAAGAACUCCGAUCGCGAAGGCAGCCUUCCGGCCCGUCAACGACGCUCAUGCUCGAAGGUACGGGUAUCAAACAGGAUUAGAUACCCUGGUAGUCCGCACAGUAAACGAUGGACACCCGCGGUUUGGCCUGUAUGGCUGAGCCGCCAAGCGAAAGCGUUAAGUGUCCCACCUGGGGAGUACGCCGGCAACGGUGAAGCUCAAAGGAAUUGACGGGG